GAUGAACGCUGGCGGCGUGCCUAAUACAUGCAAGUCGAGCGAACAGACGAGGAGCUUGCUCCUCUGACGUUAGCGGCGGACGGGUGAGUAACACGUGGAUAACCUACCUAUAAGACUGGGAUAACUUCGGGAAACCGGAGCUAAUACCGGAUAAUAUAUUGAACCGCAUGGUUCAAUAGUGAAAGACGGUUUUGCUGUCACUUAUAGAUGGAUCCGCGCCGCAUUAGCUAGUUGGUAAGGUAACGGCUUACCAAGGCAACGAUGCGUAGCCGACCUGAGAGGGUGAUCGGCCACACUGGAACUGAGACACGGUCCAGACUCCUAUGGGAGGCAGCAGUAGGGAAUCUUCCGCAAUGGGCGAAAGCCUGACGGAGCAACGCCGCGUGAGUGAUGAAGGUCUUCGGAUCGUAAAACUCUGUUAUUAGGGAAGAACAAAUGUGUAAGUAACUAUGCACGCCUUGACGGUACCUAAUCAGAAAGCCACGGCUAACUACGUG
rnacentral:rRNA from 1 species